rnacentral:tRNA from 1 species
GCCUCUGCUGCUCAGUGGUAUAAGAGCAGUCAUUAUGGUAUCAUAUGGUCAUGGGUUCAAAUCCCAUUGGAGACA